UCACCACUAUAGAAGUUUUCCGAACUAUGACAACUUCCGCUUGAAAAUAUGAAAGGGUUGUGUAACUACAUUCAAGAUAAAUUAGUUAAAUGAAAUAAAAUGCCUACAUGUGCACUGUUCAAAGUUUAUCACCAUAAAUAAUAACCUUAAUAAGUAGCAUGAUUAUCAUAUAGUGCUUUCUUAAAUAUAUUCGCAGUAACGACAACAAAUAUAAUAUUACAACUUACAUCUUACAUUAUUUUCAGAUAUGGACAAGGGAAAGAAGAGAAGAGCCAUCACUGACUUUUUUGAAGGCAUACAGCCUAAGAGGAGCCUCAUCGGUAAAACACUUAACCAGGACACUCAAACAGCACAGCACUUACAUUUAUCACCCAGGCUACAAGAAAAACUAACAGACCUGCCCCAAUCCAGGAAAAACCCCAAUACAGACAGACCAGCC